rnacentral:rRNA from 1 species
CCCUUAGAUGUUCUGGGCCGCACGCGUGCUACACUGAGUGGAUCAGCGGGUCAGGUUGCGCGAAAGCGUUUCCUAAUCUUUAAAUCCGCUCGUGAUGGGGAUUGACGGUUGCAAUUUUCUGUCAUGAACGAGGAAUACCUUGUAAGCGCGGGUCAUCAUCCCGCGCUGAAUACGUCCCUGCCCUUUGUACACACCGCCCGUCGCUCCUACUGAUUGAGUGGUCCGGUGAGGCUUUGGGAUCUGAGCGGAAAGAGCGUUUCGCUGUUUCUGCUCGGAAAACUCAGUCGAACCUUAUCAUUUAGAGGAAGGAGAAGUCGUAACA